UGCAGACCACCAGCCCCCAGCGUGCA
rnacentral:piRNA from 1 species